rnacentral:siRNA from 1 species
GAUGGAGAUGAGUUUUGAUGUUC